AAUAAACUUUUCUAGCCAUCUUAAAUAGCAUAUUGAAAGGACUUGCUGAUCAACCUUUAGAAGUAGUAUGGCUACCAAUAUCAAAAGUCUCUAUUUUACCUUUGCAAUUAUAUGCAUUGCCAUGAUUGUAGUUUCAAGUUCAGGAGGAACUAACAAGAAUGAUGAAGUAUUUUGCACUGACUGGUGGGGCUGUCCUGAUGACAAACACAAGUGUUUCUUCUUAUGUUCAAACUUUGGAUAUGAAUUACAUGGAAAAUGUCAUGAAAAUACUUGUUGUUGCGAUGGUGAAGUUAGCUGAAUGGAAGGUUAUUCCAAAAUAUAACAAUGGUCUUGCUAGAGGUGGAAACAACAUCAACAACAACAAAAAUAUCAUUAUGUGAGAUAGAUUGAAAGACCAGAAGAAAAAAAGUUGUGUUUAACGUUGGUGUUAGAAGAACAUCAUACAACACAGAACCUUGAAGAUUUUUUAUGUCUUGCAAUCUAUCCCCAAGAAUAAUGCGUACGACUUUGGAGCGACUAUAGGUGGGUUAGGUUUAGGGACAACUUAAUUAACUUGUACUUUUAUAGUAAAGUUUGAUUAUAUAAUCUCUCACUUAUUACAGAAAUCAAAGGAAUAGAUCAUUUAAUUUACAAAUAAAAAAUAAAAUAAAAAGAAAGACACCAUUUUUACAGAAGUCAAAACAUAAACUGC